UAACAUCAAAAGAGGAAAAAUGCAAGCGAAUAUAUCUCUAAAAGAGAGGAGGAGGGAGGAAGGGAGAGAGACACACACAUAGACCUUAAUACCUGUUGACCCAAAGCCAUUACAAAAAUGGAAAUUCAUUACCAGCUGCGUCCGGACUCGUGUGCGUCACGUAAUUGAAAUGCACCUUUAUGCCCCAACAACGCCUCAAAAAAACAAGGUAUUAAGCGGCCCUGUCUCCUCCCUCAAAGUAAUAACAAGCGGAUAUUAUCACAUACAGUUUUGCUUCGUUUGAUUUUGUGCGUCAUAAAUUUGAUUCAUCACGUGAUUGACGAUUGAUUAUCACCUGAUUGAUCCUUCACCUUAUUCCAUUUCUGGUCAUGGUGCAUGGUGGCCGAGGCGGGUCUGUACAGAAACUCCCAGAGAAUAUUUACCCUUUUCAGUAAAAAAGCAAUUCACAGAACACACUCGGGUUGUAAUUAACCAACGUUUGUCCUCAGCAGAAUAAGAGCAACAGGAAACAGGGGAGAUAUUGCUGCCUUUACCUUUUCAUGCAUCCACGGAGAGCGCGUCCGCGGGUGUUCAGGAGAAGAAAGUACGUUAAUCCGUAUUUCGGAGACCUAGUUUUAGGAUUCUUUCCUGUAACUCCCCAGCCUCUGCGGGGUCUCCAGCGGGGAGGUCUGAUAUCCAACAGAUUUUAAAGCCAAAGCAGCAAUCCGGGGUUCAGCGCGCUCCUGGUCUGCAUCUUCCCUAUUAACGCGCUCGCUUUUACGCACCGCUGUAAAUCAGGAAAGGUCGUGCCAAGAGAAAGAACAGAUGGACCGAACACCAACGGCGCGUCUCGGAAAUCCACGUGUGUGUUCCGUCCUCCCGACCUUUUUUUUUCCCUCUUGUGUUCACCAGUAGAGUUGCAAUCACAAUUCUGAGCUCAUUAACGCCGUCAGGUGUGACAGGAGACCGACGCGCUGCGCCCCGGUGGCUGAAGGCUUCCGCAUGUCAGUCGGUGUGGUUGAACCUCUCAGAAGAAUGGGGGACGGUGAAGACGCUCUCCUGGUCAGCCCCUGUUGCCGCGCACCCACGCACCCUCUCCAGAAAGUGGAGCCACCAGCACCAGCGUACCUCAGCACCCUCCUGCUGCCUUUCAAGCACCUAAAUGGCACCAAGGUCCUCGUCAAUGCUGGAGCGCCGGGGGAUGGAGGACAAAAAGCUCUGGAGUAUUCUGAGCAGAGUGACGCUGGAGAAGACGAAGAUGAGCUUAAAGCAAAGGAGAUCUUAAAGUUAAAGCUGAAAGAAUCUAGGAAGAGAUGCUGUCCACAUGGGGAGCUGUCCACAGCUUCACAGCCAGAGAUGAAGACACUCUAUGAACUGUGUGCAGUUAUUGUGAACAUUGAUUCCACAUAAAUGUGCAGAAAUCGCUCUGAUUGAAAGGCGCUCAGCCGUGUCAGCGCAGGUGAGAUGGUGGUCGGCUUUACCAUCACUGGGUCACACUCGGUGAUCAGCAGAAUCGGCCAGGCCAUAAUUGUUAGAGAACAGAAGGUAGAUCAAAAUAAAUCUGUUCCACUCCAGUCGUCGAGUGUGUGCUCGUGCUCAGGGGCAUUAGCUUGUCACAUCUCCGGAUCAUUAGUUUUUCUACGAGUGACCAUGCAAACACAUAAUCUGUGCACGACAAGAGUGUCCUAUCUGUUUCAUACGCAUCAACAUCUGCAUGGUGUCAUGUUGAGAUUAAGGUUUUACAGUCAUCACUAAGGAAACAGCAGCAUGGUUGCUAAGCAAAUGGUGUUUAUCAGAGUUUAUAAAAUGCUACCAGGAGACCUGUUUCAUUCAAUUUUAAAGCCAGUUGCUCAUGUUUAU
rnacentral:lncRNA from 1 species